CCUACGGGAGGCAGCAGUAGGGAAUAUUGGGCAAUGGAGGCAACUCUGACCCAGCCAUGCCGCGUGCAGGAAGAAGGCGUUAUGCGUUGUAAACUGCUUUUAUAUAGGAAGAAAUAGACCUUGCGAGGUAAGUUGACGGUACUAUAUGAAUAAGCACCGGCUAACUCCGUGCCAGCAGCCGCGGUAAUACGGAGGGUGCAAGCGUUGUCCGGAUUUAUUGGGUUUAAAGGGUGCGCAGGCGGUUUAUUAAGUCAGUGGUGAAAGACGGUCGCUCAACGAUUGCAGUGCCAUUGAUACUGGUAGACUUGAGUGGGAUUGAGGUAGCUGGAAUGGAUAGUGUAGCGGUGAAAUGCAUAGAUAUUAUCCAGAACACCAAUUGCGUAGGCAAGUUACUAAGUCUCAACUGACGCUGAGGCACGAAAGUGUGGGUAUCAAACAGGAUUAGAUACCCUGGUAGUCCACACUGUAAACGAUGAUAACUAACUGUUGGCGUUCGUAGUCAGUGGUACGAGAGAAUACGUUAAGUUAUUACCACCGUCGGGUAGGUACGCCGGCGACGGUAGAAACGUUAAACGGUAAAGUUAGUACGGCGUGAGACGUGCCGACGGACGACGACGAGGGAGGUUAGG
rnacentral:rRNA from 1 species